rnacentral:lncRNA from 13 species
GAAGCUUAGUCUUUGAACUGUUACUAUGCAUCAUUUGUUGUAUACAUUGGAUGCCAUCUUUGUUUUUAUUUCUAGAGAUUAUUCCUGAUAAAACAACAACUAGCCAAUGUGAAAUAAAUAAAGCAAUAGAGCAUCCAACGGUGUACAGAUACGAGAUGUGCUCCUGUGCUCACUGUAGAGGAGAUUCUGACGUACAGUGUACGCGCACACUGGGACAUAUUUAGAAGGCAAGGUCAACACACAUUCAUUUGAUUUCUUCGUCUGGAGACGAUUAGACAGCAUGCCAAAGCCAAGUCUCCAAUCAUCAGUCAAUACACAGACCCAUCAACAGUUCCUUCCCAUCGGUUUGAUGUCACAUGGGCGUCUGAGCUAAGUGCUUUUAUAACCAUUCGACAUACGAACAGACAAAGACGAUACAGUGGACGGUCAGUGCACACGCAUGCAGAGCGGGUACACAGAUAUUCAUCUUGCUAUCUGUCUGUAUGUCUGUCUCUGUCUGUCUGUCUCUUCAGUUUCUAAUAUAGCUUCCUCUCCUACCAUCUCCCUCUUUCUCCAUGUCUCCAUCUUCGUCUUUCCACAGUCACCUUCACACACCAUUCUGGGGCAGUUGGCCUCUCUCCCCUCCAUCCCUCUCUCCCCUCCAUCCCUUUCUCCUGCACAUGUCCACUGCCCUGCCUCUGGGCCACGCUUCUCCCCUGCGCUCCACUCGUUUAUUUAUGGGAAUAUGCUGAUGGGGCUAACCCAGGUAUAGAGAAAAAUACCCCCUGAGUAAAAGGAAGAGAGGGAGGGAGAGAACAGAAGAGCGAGCACGUGGGAAGCGAAAGAUGGGGUGGAACGGAAGAGCGAAAGAGAGCGUGCUAUUAAUCAUGGACCUGUCAUUUAUCCUAAAAAAGCAAGCAACCAUUCAUCAUGGACAGUGGGGGGAAAAAAACAAGAAAAAAAAACGAUUGAGGGAGAAAAAGAGAGAGAGGAAAAGUGGAAAAGUGUGUCACGAGGUUGGCGGAACAUAAUUGCCAAAUAAAAGUGGCUGAGUUAGUGCUCGGUUUGACUUUGAGGUCGGGCACUGCAUAUGCAGCCCAGCUUCCAGAUUAUCCCCAGCAUGAGACUAGAUGAGGGUUUUGAGGCGAACCCCCGAACCCCAAGCCUCCCUUAUUACGUAGGCCCGCUGCAUCACUCAAAAUGUAAGGCUAAACGUAUCCCUCCGUAAUACAACAUAGAGCAGUGAUGAUAAACAUGGAAGGGUAAUGAUAAUGCCACGGACGACCGCCGGGAUCUUAAUCAAGGCUAAAGCUCCAGCAAUCGAGAAUAGUCACAAAAGUGAGAGAGAGAGAAAAAAUGGACAAUAAUCAUUUAUCCCCGGGGGAAGGCGUCUGUCAAUAUGUCAUGAGGCAUUUUAUUCCACAGUUUUCCUACACCGGUGACCUUUGCUGUCACAAAAUGUAGCAGAAGCAGAAAACUGGCAUGAUGACAGAGAGAGAGAGAGAGAGAGAGAGAGAGAGAAAAAAAAUGGACAUGUCUGGCUGUCUCUCUGCGUGUUCCUCUGCUAGUUGGAGCUAUGGACAAUUCCACUGGUAGGGUUAAUGGAAUCUGUCUCUGUCAGAGGAGGUGUGUGGAGAGGGGGUGGAAAGAGAGAAAGAGAGAGAGAGAGAGAGAGAGAGAGAGAGGGAAAGAGAGAAAAAAGAUAAGUGCCCAAGGGACUCAGUGAGUGGACACUGAGCACAUCGACUGAACACCACCACUCGCAAUGAUCCUUCCCUUAGGCUGAGCAGCAAAGUAGAAUAGAACACAGCAACGGGGAGAAUACCUCAGACGCCGAGGUCCAACAUAUUAGUAGACCUGCCACGAGAUUCUCAGUGGUUGUAAACACAAACAAUAUAUCAACAUUUCUCACCUCUGUAAAAUAAAAAUGUGGGUUUAUAAUCAAGUAUCACAGCAGUAGGCCUAACCUAUGUCAUGUAUAUUCUCAUAUUUCAAAGGCAUUGAUCAAUUGCUUCAUAGUUCCGCUGUAGCAUACUGCACCUUCCAACGCAGAGAAAAACAAUAGGCUACAUCAAAACUCCGAAUUCAACAGAGCAACACUUCGAUGCUGUUAGCAAACCCCUGGGAGACGAAACCGUUGUGCGAUAUUCACAGUCCACAGGAAAAUUCCACCAAACACUGUGUGACAUCACCGGUCUGGCCCUGUAUUCCUCACAGGAGCAGGAAGAAGCGUAUAUUCUGACUGAGAUAAGACAAAGUACAUUUUGCGAAGGGCGAGUCAAAUGACAUGCGGUGCGACUCGCUCGAUCCCAAUUGCGAGAUUUAUGCGAUUCCCCUCCCUCUGAGUCAAACAGGGAAAUAUUUGUUUUCGACACUAUGUAAAAUGUAAACAGAGGCGGACUUUAUCUCGCCGCUAUGCUAAUAUGGUGCUAAUAUGGUGCUGAGAGGCUGGGGAGGCUCUGUGCUGUAUUUCCUGAUAGAGGGGCCGCUGCCUCUUUGUACUGAGGUAAUGGGAGAAGAUAAUCUCAA